rfam:Naegleria gruberi genomic scaffold NAEGRscaffold_61, whole genome shotgun sequence.
UUUCAGGUAGUGUAGUGGUAAGCAUGAGUCGCUGUUAACGAUUCGGCGGAGGUUCAACUCCUUCCCUGAUAU